UGUUUUGGUAUUUGAAGAUAA
ensembl:piRNA 21ur-11523 ncRNA